ACUCAAAGGAAUUGACGGGGGCCCGCACAAGCAGCGGAGCGUGUGGUUUAAUUCGACGCAACACGCAGAACCUUACCCAGACUGGACAUGUGGCUGCAUACCCUGGAAACGGGGUCGCCUUCGAGGGUGCCACACAGAUGCUGCAUGGCUGUCGUCAGCUCGUGUCGUGAGAUGUUGGGUUCAGUCCCGCAACGAGCGCAACCCCUGUCGCCAGUUACUUGUGUCUGGCGAGACUGCCCUUCGGGGAGGAAGGCGGGGAUGACGUCAAGUCCGCAUGGCUCUUACGUCUGGGGCUACACACACGCUACAAUGGGGUGGACAGUGCGCCGCGAACCGGCAACGGCCAGCAAAUCGCCAACCCACUCCCCAGUUCAGAUCGGGGGCUGCAACUCGCCCCCGUGAAGGCGGAGUUGCUAGUAACCGCGUAUCAGCGAUGGCGCGGUGAAUACGUACCCGGGCCUUGUACACACCGCCCGU
rnacentral:rRNA from 1 species